CGGGAUAGCUCAGUUGGUAGAGCASAGGAC
rnacentral:tRNA from 1 species